rnacentral:lncRNA from 1 species
AUGGCACAGGACAACAAGAAGGCCUCCUGCACUAUGUGGAACAAGGAUGCACAUGCACACACAUGCACGCCACUCCAAGAGGACUCCGAGAACUGGAAAAGUACAUAUUUGUCUGCUUCUAUGAAAUCACACACAAGAUUUUUACUGCUAAUUGGUAUUUUUUUCCUCUUUCUGAAUAAGUUCCUUCUAACUAUUGCAGGUGACAGUACUCCAUUUUCUAAGCUCGAAUUCAUGUGUGUCCUGAGACAUCAGAGGGAAAUAUCUGAGGUGGAGGAAGGAACUGAGGAGAGACAGGAAUGCUGUGCAAAUGUGAGAUCUGGGUUUAAUAACAUCCAUGGACAACCCAUGCAAAAUAAGAAACAGCAGAAAAAAGCAUACUUUGAAGAGCAAAAUAUUUGGGUGAAUUGCCUCUUAUAUUUGGAGAAGCUCAGGACUUGGAAUUCUCUGAAGCAUAAACUAGCUCAUCUUCUUCUCCCCAGAGAACCCGUGAGUAAGUGGUGUGCAAAAGUUGUAAUUAUAUUGAGGUGUUUAAUCCACAGUAUGUUGGGCCACAUGGCACUUCCCUAUGU